CCGCGGCGGCCAGGAAGCUGUCUACAUCGUCGAUGAUGUCAUCCUGGCAUUACAGACGCAGCAAAAGACAUGAGCACUUGUGCAAAGGAAUCAGCACUGGUCAGAAGAGAACACACACACAAGUUUCUGCAUCUGAUUUCCUGACAUCCUUUUAUCUGCCUAAAAGCAGAGCCCCCCAAAAGAAUUCAGUUGUCAUAAAUCCUGAUCCAGGAACAACACAGAAGCCUGGCUCUCAUCACCCAGACCAGAGGUCAGUGCUGCUCCUACACAGACAUUGCCACACACGGUCCUGUCUCCCCUCGCCCUUCCCAAGAGCCAUUCGUCUUCCCAUCAGUGCCCCUGCCCUACUCCCCUUCCCCUAAGCCCCAAAUUCCAACCUUCUCCUAAAAUCUGCCUUCUCUCUUGCUAAUCUGUUGACAGUUUUUAUUUCACUGCAGCCUCCAGAGCAGUGAACCUAAAGAGGCUAGAGGAAAAGCUUUUUCUCCCUAAGAGACUCAAACAAAAGCAGUAUUUUUUCUUCCCAUUGAAAA